ensembl:lncRNA
UUGUUUUUCAGUGAAAUACGCGUAUUUAACAUGUUGUUGACGUUUAAAUUCACGUGUUUUUGACCCUUUUGGCCUUCCAUAAGGGGAUUCCCGUGAGGGAAGUGCUUAGAGAAGUUUGUGAGUACAGCCAAGUUGAAGAAGAUGGUUUUAGGAUUUGAAAACAUUCACAAACCAGUUCCGUGAAUCAAACCCAUCACUUACACUUACUAGACAUUAAACUAUGGAGGAAUGUGAGCUGAGCAACAGUCCUAGACAUGAAGAACAGGUCAAACUGAAGAAAGAUAAGAAUAAUGUGGAGCAAACACGUACGGAUCUGGGUCCUUGUGUAUGCGGUUAUGACUGCUGUGUUUGUUUCCAAACCUGUGAUUGUCCUGGAUGCUGUGAUUGUCCUGGAUGUGAUUGUCCUGGAUGCUGUGAUUGUCCUGGAUGUGAUUUUUCUGCAUGCUGUGAUUGUCUUGGAUUCUGUGAUUGUUCUGAAUUUUGUGAGCUUGUGUGUUCUGGAUUCUGUGAUUGUUUUUCAUCCUGCUGCGAGUGUCUGGGAUCCAUUUUGGGAUGUUUUUGUCAGAGCCUUUUGGAUGCUUGAGUAAAUGGAUUUCAAGGGAUGCCACAGAAGUCAGAAGAAAACAUCCGAUACAAAGCCAACAAACAAACAUUGGGAAAUCUUCAUUAAAUAUCAUAAUGGAAUGAUUUUUAAACUUCACAAAGAUGUUGUUGUUAUCUGUACAUUUACAAAAAUGCAACUGUAAAAUACGCUAAAACAAAUCCAACAAAAGUUGAACUUCUUCUGCAGUAAUGUCUGAUUGUAGCUUUAAAUACAAACUGCUCGAGAGUGAAGAGAAACUAAAAUGCACCAGCAUAAAACAAGUCUCUUGAGAUUGUUGAGCCACAGAGUUUGAUGAUGUGGUUUGAAAAAUGUCAUCAGUUUUGGUUUCGUUUGGAGGAUGUUUAAUCUAAACCAGAUUUUGUUCUGUUUCAGGCAGAAGGAGAAUAGUGUGAUGAAAUUAAGCAGAAGGUUUGGUCACAUUAGAUUUUAUGCUCUUCACUUCCAUUCAUGAGAUCCUCUGGACUCUGUAAGAGUAGAUGAACUCUCACUCAGAACAGAUCAACUUUCACAGCUUAGUUCUGCUUUAGUCUGUCUUUCAUGUUCAUGCCUGUCUCAACGAGACAGCAACAGGAUAUUAACCCUUAAAGACCUAAAACAUUUUGCACGUGUACUUUUCUUUCUUUCAGACCUAUUCUAACAGUCAGCAUCAAGCACCAUAUAUCUUUAUAAACAAGAGAACUAGAACAAGAGAAAGUCCCAAUUUUCCUUUUGUUUUCUCUGAGAAUGAAUGAAUUUGCAAGAAUUUUAAGAACAACGCAAGCAACAGUUGGGUGUGUCCUGGAUUUUUUUUCUUAAGCGUUUUCUUUAGUGCUUUAUUUUUUGAAUCAGUUGGCACAUAAGGGAUAAUGCAGGGCUAGAUGUGCAUUAAACGAUUUUAAUACACAAAGUGGAGGUAAAGAACCACCUGACGUGAAGAAUUAAAAUAUCAUGGUCAUUUGCCAGCAUUGACAAAUGAGAGGAAGCAGAAGAGGGGUAAGCGUGGAGGUAUCUGGGCUAGGCUAACGGCUAACCCACACAAGCCAUCUAUCCCCACCAUCGUACUGGCUAACGUACGCUCUUUGGACAAUAAACUGGACUUCAUCCGAUUACUACGUUCAACUCAAAGGACUGUAAGAGACUGUUGUGUUUUUGUGUUCACGGAAACAUGGCUUAGCAACAGCGUUCUGGACUGCGCCAUUCAGCUCGACCAGCUGACGUGCUAUCGAGCAGACAGCGAUCUCGUCGCGGGAGGAAAAACCCGCGGCGGCGGGCUUUGUGUUUACAUCAAUGAUGCGUGGUGCCGCGAUGCUGUUGUGAUCUGCAAACACUGCUCACCCCUGGUGGAGUUUAUGAUUAUUAAGUGCCGGCCGUUCUAUCUGCCGAGGGAAUAUACUGCCAUACUGCUCGUUUCGGUUUACAUUCCCCCAAACAACAACAACAGCAACAGGAACGAUGCACUAAAUAAACUGCACCAGCACAUCAGUGAGCAGCAGACAGCACACCCUGAUGCUUUUCUCAUCAUAGCUGGGGAUUUCAAACAUGCUGACUUAGAGAGUGUGUUACCAAAAAUACACUAACACAUUCAUUUUCCAACAAGAGGUAAAAACAUUUUAGACUUUGUUUAUACCACACAGAGAGGAGCUUACAAAGCCCUCCCCCUCCCCCACCUCGGUGCCUCAGACCACAUCACUGUCAUGCUAAUGCCUGCAUACAGACCGCUCGUUAAAGUAGCCAAACCAGUUCAGAAACAGAUUCAAGUGUGGCCAGAAGGGUCGUCAGACGCUCUUCAAGACUGCUUUGAUACAACUGACUGGAAUAUGUUUAAGCAGGCUGCCACUUACAAUAGCACCACUGACCUCCAGGAGUACUCAGAGACUGUCACUGCUUACAUCAACAAGUGUAUUGAUGAUGUCACAAAAACUAUCACUGUCCGGGCUAACCAGAAGCCGUGGAUGACAGGGGAGGUCUACAGACUCCUGGAGACACGGAACGCUGCCUUCAGAGCUGGAGAUGAGGUGGGCCUGAGAACAGCCAGGGCCAACCUAUCCCGCGGCAUCAGAGAGGCUAAGAGACAGUACUCCAGGAGGAUAGCCCAUCAAUUCAGUGACAGCAGAGACACUCAGAGCCUGUGGCAGGGGAUACAGACCAUUACGGACUACAAGCCCCCACCACGGACCUGUGACAGCAACAUCUCUCUGCUGAACGAGCUGAACACCUUCUUCGCUCGCUUUGAGGCACAAAACAGCUCCACUGCACAGAAGACUCCACCUCCUCCCAGUGACCAGGUGAUGACGCUGACCCUGGACAGCGUGAGGAGAUCCUUCAGCAGGAUCAAUGCACGCAAAGCUCCGGGACCUGACAACAUUCCUGGGCGUGUACUGAGAGACUGUGCAGCAGAACUUCACUGAUGUCUUCACAGACAUUUUCAACAUCUCACUUAGUCAGGCUGUUGUCUCCACAUGCUUCAAAGCUACCACCAUCAUUCCAGUCCCGAAGAAGCCAUCUCCAUCCUGCUUCAAUGACUACCGUCCUGUUGCACUUACUCCCAUCCUCAUGAAGUGCUUCGAACGGCUAGUCAUGCACUAUAUCAAGUCUGCCCUCCCCCCUCCCUGGACACAUUCCAGUUUGCAUAUCGGUCCAACCAGUCGACCGAUGAUGCCAUCUCAACUACCCUCCACUCAGCACUCACACAUCUAGAGAAAAAAGACUCAUACGUCAGAAUGCUGUUCAUAGACUUCAGUUCAGCAUUCAACACAAUCAUCCCUCAACAGCUCAUUCACAAACUGAUCGAGCUGGGGCUCAACACUUCGCUGUGCAACUGGCUGUUGGACUUUCUGACUGGAAGACCUCAGGCAGUACGGGUCGGCAGCAACACAUCCAGCACCAUCACACUGAACACUGGGGCCCCCCAAGGAUGUGUGCUGAGCCCCCUCCUGUUCACUCUGCUGACCCACGACUGCACACCGUCACACAACUCCAACCUCUUCAUUAAGUUUGCGGAUGACACGACUGUGGUGGGUCUCAUUAGCAUUAGCCCCCCCCCCCCCCCAGAUUCCACAUCUGCAGGUCCUUCCACCCCCCCUCCCACUAACAUACGAUGACAUGCACCAGUCACUUUGUGCAGCAUUGGUCUGCUCACUACCUCAUUCACCAUGGAACUGACGUCAUUCUACCACCUCAUCUGUCAGUUAAAUUAAAUAACUGCUCUUGAGCCCUUUUGUCACUUCUUUAUGCACUAAAAAUCUUUUUAUCUGCACUGUUUGUUCACUGGUUUGCACUCUAUCUGCCAUGUGCCUUGCGCUGCUUUUAUUUAACUUUAUUUUUAUUUUAUUUAUUUAUUUAUUUAUUUUAUUAUAUGUAUUUUUUACAUUCCCUUAUUGUAUAGUUAUAUCUUAUAUUUUAUAUUUGAUCUAGAUUUUUUUAGGCUCUACUGUUAGUGUUAUCUGUAUGCACCGGGGGUCUGAGAGUAACGCAAUUUCGAUUCUCUGUAUGUAUGUACUGUACAUGUGGAAGAAUUGACAAUAAAGCAGA